AAACAUCUAAGUACCUGAAGGAAGAGAAAGAAAUUCGAUUCCGUAAGUAGCGGCGAGCGAACGCGGAUUAGCCCAAACCAAUAAAGUUUUCUUUAUUGGGGUUGCGGACAUAUCAUAACGAAGAGGGAUCGUAAUUGAAGAGGUUUGGAAAGACCCACCACAGAAGGUAAUAGUCCUGUAUGUUAAACGAGAAGACUUUAGAUAUGAUCCAGA
rnacentral:rRNA from 1 species